CACGCUGGAAAAGUGAAACUGAGGAAUACAAGAAAAAUAGAAAGGAAGAAGAAGAAGAAGAAGAAGACGAAGAUGAUGAUGAUGAUGAUGAUGACGAAGAUGCUUAGUCUCCCAUUUGUUUCUUUUUAUAUAUUUCUUUCCUAUCAUUAUGUUUUCUGUCUCUCAUUUUAUUCUAUUAUUUUCAUCACAAGACAUACGUUUUCAUGAGCCGUAAUCUUAAUCUUAAACUCACGCGACUAGUAGUCAACGAGUAUCAUUAAGGAUUUUCUUCUUAUUUUCCCUUCCUCUAUAGUACCACAUACAUACACACUUAAUAAAUUACAUAAUGAACUUUUUUAUUUCCUCUCUUCUUAUUUUAUUAUAUAAUACCUUCU
rnacentral:ribozyme from 1 species